UGUGAAGGGAUGUUUCUCUACUCUUGGAAUCAUGGUCAUCUGGUUUUGACCUUAUUUGAAGGACAGGAUCCGAUCUGCAGUCUUCUCUAUAACUCUUAGAUGAGUAGCUUGCUGAAGGUUCACGAGAAGGAAUCUCCAGGAUCUCUGUUUCCCAGAUGCCUCCAGAAAGCAACAGCAUGUUUAACAUGGGGAGGCAAUAAAACUGAAAGGUCCAGAAGGCUUGUUGUUUCAGUGUCCAGAAUGGUGCUAAUGAGCGCAGAAGGUUAUAAACCAAGUGCCACACAGCUAGUAAUUGAUUCCAGUCUUCAGAGACCCCAAGAAGGGGUCACCACUGUAGCCCCUCCACUGAUCAGGGCCCUGGUCGUGGGUAGCCUAUCCCAGAAGAACAGAGCAUCGGGCAUGAUAGACCCUGGAUGGGACACUGGUGGUACUGCUGCGGAGUCCUCCAUUCAUCUGAAACACACAUCUUUGGACUGUGGCAGGAAACUCGCACGAACACAGAGAACAUGCAAACUGCGCAAUCUGAGCUGGGUUCAGAGCUGCAUCCUGAACGCAUAGCUCAGGAGCUGCGAGGCACCGGCGCAUCUGUAUCAUCCGUGAACAGCUGAUUAUUUGUUAGUCUGUGCAAUGCUUUCUCCCUCUUACUUAUUCCCUCUCUCAUUAUUUAUUCCAUCCCUUCUUAUUUUCCCUAUUUCUCUAGUACUGUCAGUCCAUCUUUGCACUGGUUUUAUGUAUGUAUGUAUGUAUGUAUGUAUGUAUGUGUGUAUACAUCUUGUCUCCUCUAUUGUUUACUCUGCACUAUGACCCAUUGGGAACCAAAACCAAAUUCUCUCUAUAUGUGUGCAUACUUGGCCAAAUAAAUCGGAUUCUGAUUCUGAUACGUCCCCCA
ensembl:lncRNA uncharacterized LOC114910553